CCCUUAGAUGUUCUGGGCCGCACGCGCGCUACACUGAUGCAUUCAACGAGCCUAUCCUUGACCGACAGGUCCGGGUAAUCUUUGAAUCUGCAUCGUGACGGGGAUAGAUUAUUGCAAUUAUUAAUCUUCAACGAGGAAUGCCUAGUAGGCGCAAGUCAUCAGCUUGCGUCGAUUACGUCCCUGCCCUUUGUACACACCGCCCGUCGCUCCUACCGAUUGGGUGGGCUGGUGAAAUGUUCGGAUCGGCCGUUUGUCGCGGUUUCCGCGGCUCGUGGCUGGGAAGUUCAUUAAACCCUCCCACCUAGAGGAAGGAGAAGUCGUAACA
rnacentral:rRNA from 1 species